GUGACGGUGUUGAGACAGGUGACGGUGUUGAGACAGGUGACCGUGUUGAGACAGGUGACCGUGUUGAGACAGGUGACCAUAUUGAGACAGGUGACAGUAUUGAGACAGGUGACAGUAUUAAGAGUAUUGAGACAUGUGACAGUAUUAAGAGUAUUGUGACAGUAUUAAGAGUAUUGAGACAGGUUACAGUAUUGAGACAGGUGACAGUAUUGAGACAGGUGACAGUAUUGAGACAGGUGACAGUAUUGAGACAGGUGACAGUAUUGAGACAGGUGACAGUAUUGAGACAGGUGACAGUAUUGAGACUGGUGACAGUAUUGAGACUGGUGACAGUAUUGAGACUGGUGACAGUAUUGAGACUGGUGACAGUAUUGAGACUGGUGACAGUAUUGAGACUGGUGACAGU